ACGCUUUCCGUGGAUGGGGCUCGCCAGUCGCUUCUGAGUGCUGCCUAAGGUCUGAGCAGAGCUCCUCUCUUCAUGUCUGCAAUGGGUUCUGCAGCGAUAUCUGGGUGUCCGGGCCUGCCCACGCUGUGACCCCAGCACAGAGCCAGCUGCCAGGCUUGGUGGGGCCUCUGGGAGCACGUGGAUAGUGCCAAAAGAGGAGGUGGGAACAGACAGAGUGAGGAAGGAGUGAAUGAGAGGACAGAGAAAGCUGCAGCCCACAGAUCUUCCAUGACAAAGCAGAUGGUCAUAUCCAGAGGAACUGUGGCCUGUGUAGAACCCACGGUAGAGUACAUCUUCCUGGGGGACAGUGGCCCUUGGAGAAGCCAUGCCGGAUUGGAGAGACUGUGUGAGAGGGAACCACGAGGAGAAACUCUGACUGACAGUACUGCUCUCCGUUCCCACUCUGCUGGUUGGGGCAUACAUUGCUUGGUUUCCAGUGAAGUGGAGCCUAGCUAAGGAACUGUCUCAUCCCUGUGUAUCCUUGUUCCCUCCUGGUCCUGCUGGUGGGAUGUGUAAGAGAAUGGGUGGAAGUCAAGGCUGCUAGAGGUACAUGACCGGAAUACAGCACUCCUAGCACAGCAUGUGAAAGUAUCCUUCACAGUAAAAACAGCUACUUUCAGACCUGAAACUGUCCAGGUCUGUCAAAACGUUCUUAGAUUUGAUAAGCAGAAAUAAUGCCACUUUUUAUGAAGAGGUGUGAAUAUGAGAUUGUGACUGAUCCUACCAAGUUUUUAGUUUGGUCCUAAUCUGGUAGUGAAGUAUGAAUUGAAUCCACUAGCCUGCACCUUGCGCUACGUAAUACGUACCAUUAUGUUCCUAAACCUGUAUCGCUGAAAUCAAUGAGAAUCUUAUCAACAGAGAGAUACAGAGGAUGACUGCAGGAUGAGGAUUUAUGUGCCUGACUGAAAAUGCAACCUACCCAGGAUAAUAUUAUAUUUUCUAAUAAAUGAAUCAUAAAAUUCAAAGCAAAGGGAUGGAAGGACUGGACAGAGGCUAAAUAGGAAUCAAUAAAACAGUCAUGUUAUUCUCAAGGGGGUUAUCGAGUCAGUCCCUUAUACAAUCAUCUUCUGACAAUCCAGUUUGUGUUUGUCAGUCUUAAUGUUAAUUUCCUGUAAGACCCUUUGCCCUUUGGCAAAGAAGAGAUUUCUCUAAUCCUGAUGAUUUAUCCUCUCUCAUCAAAAAAACCAACAUUAAAACUUUUGAAGAACAUC
rnacentral:lncRNA from 7 species